rnacentral:rRNA from 1 species
AUUGAACGCUGGCGGUAACUUUUAAACAUGCAAGUCGAGCGGUAACAGACAUAAAGAUUCAGCUUGCUGAAUCCGGUGCUGACGAGCGGCGAACGGGUGAGUAACGCGUAGGAAUCUACCCAGUAGCGGGGGAUAGCCCGAGGAAACUCGGAUUAAUACCGCAUACGCCCUGAGGGGGAAAGGGGGCAGUUUACUGCUCUCACUAAUGGAUGAGCCUGCGUAAGAUUAGCUUGUUGGUAGGGUAAUGGCCUACCAAGGCGACGAUCUUUAGCUGGUCUGAGAGGACGAUCAGCCACAUUGGGACUGAGACACGGCCCAGACAUCUACGGAUGGCAGCAGUUAAGAAUAUUGGACAAUGGGGGCAACCCUGAUCCAGGUAUACCGCGUGUGUGAAGAAGGCCCUAGGGUUGUAAAGCACUUUAAUCAGAGAAGAAGCAG